rnacentral:rRNA from 1 species
UGGCUUCCAUCUGGAAGAAUCUGGAGACAGGUGCUGCAUGGCUGUCGUCAGCUCGUGUCGUGAGAUGUUGGGUUAAGUCCCGCAACGAGCGCAACCCUUGCCUUUAGUUGCCAGCAGUUCGGCUGGGCACUCUAAAGGGACUGCCGGUGUUAAACCGGAGGAAGGUGGGGAUGACGUCAAGUCCUCAUGGCCUUUAUGACCAGGGCUACACACGUACUACAAUGGCCGAUACAAAGGGCAGCGACACUGCGAGGUGAAGCCAAUCCCGUAAAAUCGGUCUCAGUCCGGAUUGGAGUCUGCAACUCGACUCCAUGAAGUUGGAAUCGCUAGUAAUCGUGGAUCAGCAUGCCACGGUGAAUACGUUCCCGGGCCUU